GAGAUUUACACUUCCCUAUCUCCAGGCCAUGGACAGGUGAGGCAGAAUGAUCCCUAUCUACAAGGCUUUUCCAGGCAGAGGACAACCACGACACAUUGCGAGCGAAGCAGAAGUCUGGAGCUGGAGGCAGAAGCGUUUUUAGCAGAUUCUGGAAGAAAGUGAAGACCAGGAGGUCGAAAACCUUCAGAGACCAACCUCUGUGAUAAACAAUGAGAAGCUGCUCCCCAUGCCCUGCCAUGCAGACCACGGGCCCGAGAAGGCUAAAGAUCUCCUUCUGAACUCCACCUACAGUGAAGAUGCGAACUAAUAAGGCAUUU